GUAUCUGAAGCCUGACGAGGAUGAGGACCUCCGGGGGCAAGAGGUUCGACCCGAGCGAAGCGAGAGAACGUUGCGUCAGCAACGGCCCGCAGUGGCAAGUCAUCCUCUGUCACCGGCCG
rnacentral:sRNA from 1 species